AGAGUUUGAUCAUGGCUCAGAACGAACGCUGGCGGCAGGCCUCAAACAUGCAAGUCUAGGGGGCGUAGCAAUACGUCACCGGCGGACGGGUGCGUAACACGUGGGAAUGUACUUACUGGUUCGGAACAACUCAGGGAAACUUGAGCUAAUACCGAAUGAGCCCGAAAGGGGAAAGAUUUAUCGCCAGUAAAUCAGCCCGCGUCCGAUUAGCUAGUUGGUGGGGUAAAGGCCCACCAAGGCGACGAUCGGUAGCUGUUCUGAGAGGAAGAUCAGCCACACUGGGACUGAGACACGGCCCAGACUCCUACGGGAGGCAGCAGUUGGGAAUCUUGGACAAUGGGGGAAACCCUGAUCCAGCCAUGCCGCGUGAGUGAUGAAGGCCUUAGGGUUGUAAAACUCUUUCGACGGGGACGAUAAUGACGGUACCCGUAGAAGAAGCUCCGGCUAACUUCGUGCCAGCAGCCGCGGUAAUACGAAGGGGGCUAGCGUUGUUCGGAAUUACUGGGCGUAAAGCGCGCGCAGGCGGUCUUCCAAGUCAGUGGUGAAAGCCCGGAGCUCAACUCCGGAACUGCCAUUGAAACUGUGAGACUAGAGUACGAGAGAGGUGAGUGGAAUUCCCAGUGUAGAGGUGAAAUUCGUAGAUAUUGGGAAGAACACCGGUGGCGAAGGCGGCUCACUGGCUCGUUACUGACGCUCAGGCGCGACAGCGUGGGGACCAAACAGGAUUAGAUACCCUAGUAGUCC
rnacentral:rRNA from 1 species